ACACGUGGGAAACCUGCCCAGAAGCGGGGGAUAACACCUGGAAACAGAUGCUAAUACCGCAUAACAACUUGGACCGCAUGGUCCGAGUUUGAAAGAUGGCUUCGGCUAUCACUUUUGGAUGGUCCCGCGGCGUAUUAGCUAGAUGGUGAGGUAACGGCUCACCAUGGCAAUGAUACGUAGCCGACCUGAGAGGGUAAUCGGCCACAUUGGGACUGAAACCCGGCCAAAACUCCUACGGGAGGCACCAUUAGGGAAUCUUCCACAAUGGACAAAAGUCUGAUGGAGCAACGCCGCGUGAGUGAAGAAGGGUUUCGGCUCGUAAAACUCUGUUGUUAAAGAAGAACAUAUCUGAGAGUAACUGUUCAGGUAUUGACGGUAUUUAACCAGAAAGCCACGGCUAACUACGUGCCAGCAGCCGCGGUAAUACGUAGGUGGCAAGCGUUGUCCGGAUUUAUUGGGCGUAAAGCGAGCGCAGGCGGUUUUUUAAGUCUGAUGUGAAAGCCUUCGGCUCAACCGAAGAAGUGCAUCGGAAACUGGGAAACUUGAGUGCAGAAGAGGACAGUGGAACUCCAUGUGUAGCGGUGAAAAUGCGUAGAUAUAUGGAAGAACACCAGUGGCGAAAGCGGCUGUCUGGUCUGUAACUGACGCUGAAGCUCGAAAGUAUGGGUAGCAAACAGGAUUAAAUACCCUGGUAGUCCAUACCGAAAACCGAUGAAUGCUAAGUGUUGGAGGGUUUCCGCCCUUUCAGUGCUGCAGCUAA
rnacentral:rRNA from 2 species